UUGAGCGUGAAGGAUAACGUUGCGUCAGCAACGGCCCGAAGGGCGAGGCGAAGCCGAGUCAUCCUGCACGACCCACCA
rnacentral:sRNA from 2 species